ensembl:lncRNA
CCGCCCCGCCUGGCGCCGCACCACGUGGGGCCGGCGCGCCCGGCAGCCGAGGAUCGGAGGCCGGACUGUGCAUCACGCCGCGGGCCCCUCUUCCAGAAGGGGAGGGAAGGGGAAGGGGGCAGCGGCGGGGAGCGCCGGGCGCUCGGGGCGCCCUGGGCCUGCCGGGGUGCUCGGCGGCGCUCCCUCUGCUGGCGCGUCCGGGCCCCGGGCCCAGCCCCCAGCUCCCUGCCCCCGCUGCCCGCUGCGCGAGGAGGCGGGCCCUCAGAAGCCGCCCCCGCCACCUCCCUCCCAGGCCUGCGUCGAGCCCCGACGUCUUGCCCACAGGCCAGAGGCGCCGGGGUCAACUGCCCGCCAGCCUGCGGCCCAGGGCGGUGGUCGGCUCCCCGCCCGCAAGGCCGGCGCGAAGUGGAGGAGCCUCCCGCGCGCCAGUCUGCACGCCGCGCACGUCCAGGUAACGCGCGCUCAGGGGACACGGCUCGGAGCUGGGCGACCUCAGGACCGGUCCCGUCCCGGCGUGGAAAGUGCGGCGGGGGCGCGGCCGCGGGAGCAGAGGCGGCCAAAGUGGGCGGGAGCGCUGGGCGGGGCCUGGGCUGACCCUCGCUGCCGAGUCCCUAGGGCGGCCUGGCGGAUGGCGUGGCCGGACGCGGGGGCCCAGGGCCUUUCCGGACGUGAUCCGGGGGUUGGGGGCACCGGGGCCGUCCGGCGGGGCGGUCCUGGGUGGUCUGGCGGAGGCGGAGGUCGCUCCGGGCGCCUGGAGUGGAGGAGGUGGGCGCGCCAGCCAAGGAGAGAAGGGGGCGGGGUGUGCCGCCCUGGUGGGGACCGCGGGGUCGGAGAGGGGACAUUUCCCCGGAGGCAAGCGCCGGGCCGCAGCUCCGAGUCCCCGCCCGAGGCCGCCCCCGCGAGUUGGCGGCGGGCCCGGCGGUCCCCGAGGGCGGCUCGGAUUCUUUCGCCAAACCCGCCCUGAGACGACGGACCAGCCGCCCAGGCUUCGCCAGACUGCACCCCUUGGGCAGCCAACUCUGAACGCGCCUGUCUCCGAACUUGGGGCCCGCCCGACCCGAGUGACCCAAGGCAAGGGUGCCCAGUCCGCAGCCACGCACCUCCAGUUCGGGUCAUGAUUCCCUGACUAGCAGCGGUGCAGCCUAAGGAGUGGAAGGGGCUGGCGGUUAGCUCCAAAUUGAAAGUCGGUGAUGCUUUUACCAAUCUGAGGGCUGCCGCUGAGCCUCUGACCCUUGCAGGGAGAGCCUCUUGCCCUCUCCCCACUCCCUUAGCCAGACGGUGCCCCCAGUGCCUGGUCCCUCCCCCUUCCUACCCACAGAGCCCGAGCAUCUGGCCUGUGACCCCCUUAGAAAUGAGGAUUCUGCACACUUGGCCUUGGAGAAGACCUAGUUUCAGGCAGACGCCAAUAGGGCGCCGGGGGCUGCCUGGACCCCACAGCCUCACAUCUGGAGCCGCUGGCACUAGGGCCCAGAGGCAGGUCCCCGCCACCUUUGGGUCAGGGACGGGCUGCCCCACUUGACCCGGGUCAGUGACCCUGACCUCCAGUCUCCCAGGAAAGCACCCUGAGUGAGGCGCCUUGCUCUAAGGGCGCUGGAGAAGGCCCCAACGAUGGAGGGAGAGCCGGCCUCCAGAGGGGCCUGUCCCUGCGCUUCCCCUACCGUCGCCUGCCCAUCUCUGCAGAGUCACAUUCCGCUUGUCAUGGUGGCUUCCCUCCUGAGGCCCUGCCCUCCUCUUAGGGCCCCACCCUACAGCCAGAGGCCCAAGCCGGGGGGUGGGGGGGGGGUACCCCAGGGCAACCGCUGGACUUCUGGCCCAUAGGGACCCAGGCACCCUGUAGACAUGGGGUUGACGUGGGGGGAAGGCAGCGGGGAUGACAGACCUGCCCUAGGAACCGGAUCCCACCCCCCUGUACUGGGUGUGCCCUUGGGCACCAGGUCUGUGUUUCCAUGAAGAGGAGAAUGGAGCCCAGGCUGCGCUGGGCACACUGGGCAGGGUGGCCUCUCUCUGCUCCCACCGACCCGUGGAGGGGCGCUGCACAGCUAGGACACAGACCAGUGACCACUGGGGCCCUGGAGGAAAAUAGUCUGAGCUAGAGGAGCCCAGUGCCUGACCCAGGCCACGGCAUGUGGCAUGUGGCCACCCUGGGCGCCCCCGGGCUGCAGUGGCCGGGACCGACACAGUGCUGUGGGCAGCUUGUCGCGUAUGUGCAGGUCACCGUUCCCCGUGACGGGGCAGCAGACCCCUGCCCAGGCUCGGCUCGUCCCGGCUGCUGACGCCCAGGAGUGCCCCCAAAGCCCCCUGGCUGGCGUGAAGGCUGUAAAAUUCUCCGGGUGCGCUCCAGCCCCACCCAUGGUGCUGACCUGGGUUCGUCUCCUGAGCUGCCAGGCAGCCCCUGAGUGGACCCGGGAUGAGGCCUGCAGAGGAGGCGGGGCCACAGCUGGUUCCUGUACUGAUGAGGCACCCACUGUGUGCGGCGGCCUUUCUGGGCAACACACAGUCCCAGCCCAGAAGGUGCUGGCGUCUGAGAAGGGCCAACACACCAAGCUUCGAGAACUCACCAUGGGUGGGCAUGGGUGUGGGCGGGGUGGUCCAGGAAGGCAGCUCUGAGGAGGUGACAAGUUGAGCCCUGAAGCUUCUGACUGAUCAGAGAGGAAAGAACAUGAUGGGGAGGGGACACGGAGCAUGUGCCAAGGCCUCGGGGCAGCAAAAAGCACCAGUGGUCUGUGAACACAGCGAGGUGGGGGCGGCUCCCAGUUCCCCUCCUGGCCCCCCGCCUUCUCUUAGCUCUUCCUUCCUGUCCCGCCCACCCCAGUCCACACACUGCACCUUUACGGAGUGGGCUGUGCCGUUUCAGGGAGAUGAUCUGAAAGGCCAGGUUUGGAGCAGCACCCUGACCCUCGACCACCAGCCUGGGAACACUAAUGGUAGGAUGUUCGGGGCUUCCUGUGGUUGGCGCCAGUCCUGAGCAAUCGCUGCUUCCGACGGGCACCUCUUCAGGUGCCUCCCGGCCUCCAGGCACAGGGCCCAGCCCAGGCUACCCCUCUGUGCCUUGUCACCAGCUCCAAGGCCUCCUGAAGAAUAAACCCACAGCAUCUGGGUGUGCCUGCCAGCUGCCAGUGGGAGCCCCGUGCUGUGGCCGUUCUUCUGUGGGGAGGGACGAUGCUCAACCCAAGGAGAUGGGCCCCCGCGCUCAGUGUCUGCCCGGUGAGAUGCGUGCACAGGUGUGUCGGGACAGCUGCGGUCUCUGCUCCGCCUCCGCUCACCACCCCCCAACCCUGGGUCCCCGAGCCUCCGGCUGUGCCCGUCCAUCUCUCUCCAGCCAGCAGGCUUGGAGCUGGCUCCAUCCACGGCCGUUAGGUCUCCGAUGGUGGGAAGAGGGUGAUUCUGCUGCCAAAGCCGCCUUCAGGCAGGGUCCCUGGGGUAGAGGGAGCCCCAGGGGGUCUGGCCAGGGCCGGCAGCAUCUCUCCUGGAGUAACUGGGCGCCGAGGAGGCAUUGGGAUCUGCCUGCCUCUGGACGGCCCCUCCCAUCAGCUGGUAAAUCUACCCCCUGUCCCUGCAGAAGGGCUCUGCUUGCCACUGGACUCCUGGAUCUCCGGACCCCAGCCCUAUUCUGGGCCCUCGCCCCUGGGACCCCAGAGAUGGGACUGGAGGGACUUCCUCAAUCCACCUGCAGGAGGGGACCAGUUGAAACUGACUUCAGAAAAACAGCUUUCUGAGCCCAAACAGGCUGCCAAGAGCUAUGCUUUUCCCUCCAAGCUUGACUUUCUGAUUUAAUGAGGCUUCUUGUCCAAGUUGGGCUUCCCUUGAGGCUCAGCUGAUAAAGAAUCUGCCUGCAAUGCGGGAGACCUGGGAUCACUCCCUGGGUUGGGAAGAUCCCCUGGAGAAGGAAAAGGCUACCCACUCCAGUAUUCUGGCCUGGACAGUUCUGUGGACUGUAUAGUCCAUGGGGUCACAGAAUCAGACACGACUGAGCGACUUUCACUCACUCACUUGUCCAAGUUGGGCUUCCCAGGUGCUUCAGCGGAUUCUUUACCAUCUGGGCCACCAGGGAAGCCCUAAAGAGGAUCUUUAAUACAUAAAGAGCUCUAACAAGUGAGUAAGAAAAGC